ACUCAAAUGAAUUGACGGGGGUCCGCACAAGCGGUGGAACAUGUGGUUUAAUUCGACACUACGCGAGGAACCUUACCUAGGCUUGACAUGUAUUUGCCCGCUGUAGAAAUACAGUUUUCUGGGUCUUUGAUCCAGACGAAUACACAGGUGCUGCAUGGCUGUCGUCAGCUCGUGUCGUGAGAUGUUCGGUUAAGUCCUCUAACGAGCGCAACUCUCGCUGUCAGUUGCUAUCCUUCGGGAGCACUCUGAUGGGACUGCCUGGGAAACCAGGAGGAAGGUGGGAAUGACGUCAAGUCCUCAUGGCCCUUAUGUCUAGGGCUACACACGUGUUACAAUGGCCGGCACAAAGAGCAGCGAAUCUGUAAAGAUGAGCUAAUCUCAAAAAACCGGUCUAAGUUCGGAUUGAGGUCUGCAAUUCGACCUCAUGAAGCUGAAAUCGCUAGUAAUCGCGCAUCAGAACGGCGCGGUGAAUACGUUCUCGGGCCUUGUACACACCGCCCGU
rnacentral:rRNA from 1 species